AUUAGGGGAUAAAUUAAUAAUAAAUAAUUAAUAAAAAAAAUUUUAAUAUAAAAAUAUUUAAUGGGGGUUAAAGUAUUUUUAAUAGAAAAAAUUUUUAAAUUUAUAAUGAAAUAGUAUUGUAAAAGAAAUUUGAAAUAUAAUGAAAAAAAAAUUUUAAAAAAGUAAAUUUUAUUUAUUGUAUCUUGUGUAUCAGAGUUUAUUAAUAAAUAUUUUUAUUUAAAAGUUUCUCGAAUUUAAAAGAGUUAAUUAAUUAUUAAAGUUAAUGUUGAAUAAUUAUUUUAAAUAAUUAAUUAGAAAUGAAAUGUUAAUCGUUUUUAAAUAUAUCUAGUUUUUUUAGAAAAAAAUUUAAUUUUAAAUAAUAAUAAAGUAAUUUUUAUUUUUAUAAAAAUUACAAAUUAUUAUUAAAUAUUUUAAGGGAUAAGCUUUAAAAUAAAUUUUUAUAAAAAAUGAAAGUUUUUAAUUAAUAAAAAUUUUUAGAAUUUAUAUUAUUAAUAAAUUAUAAUUUUUUAUAAAUAAUUUAUUAAUAAAAAAUUAAAAUUUAAUUUUAUUUUAAUUUUUUAUAAAAAAAUUAUUUUUAAUUUAAAAAAUUUAGAUAUAAUGAUAAAAUUUGUAUAUAAUUAUUUUUUUAUACAUAAAAGUAUUAAGAUAAUUUUUAAAAAGGAAUUCGGCAAAUAUUUAUAUUCACUUGUUUAUCAAAAACAUGUCUUUUUGUUUAUAAUUUAAAGUUUAAUUUGCCCCCUGAUAAAUAUAUUGAAGGGCUGCAGUAUUUUGACUGUACAAAGGUAGCAUAAUCCUUAGUCUUUUAAUUGGUGACUUGUAUGAAGGAUUUAAUGAAAUAUAUACUGUUUUUUUUGAAUUUGUAGAAUUUAAUUUUUUAGUUAAAAAGCUAAAAUUUAUUUAAAAGACGAGAAGACCCUAUAGAGUUUAAUAUUUAUAAUAAUUUUAAUUUUUUUUGAAAAUUUUUUAUUUUAAAAUUUUUAAAAUUAUUUUGUUGGGGUGAUAGAAAAAUUAAAUUAACUUUUUUUUUAUAAAUUUAACAUUAAUUUAUGAUUAAAUGGUCCGUAAUUUACGAUUAUAAGAUAAAAUUACCUUAGGGAUAACAGCGUAAUUUUUUUUUUUAGUUCUUAUAAAAAAAAAAGUUUGCGACCUCGAUGUUGGAUUAAGAUAAAAUUUAAAUGCAAAAGUUUAAAAUUUUGAUCUGUUCCAUCAUUAAAAUCUUACAUGAUCUGAGUUCAAACCGGUGAAAGCCAGGUUGGUUUCUAUCUUUAAUUUAAUUAAAUAUUUUAGUACGAAAGGAAUAAAUAUUUAAAAUAAUUUUGUUAAAAAAAAUUUUAUUAAUUUACUU
rnacentral:rRNA from 1 species